rnacentral:rRNA from 1 species
AACGAACGUUAGCGGCGCGCCUAACACAUGCAAGUCGAGCGAGAAAGGGUUUCGGCCCCGGUAAAGCGGCGCACGGGUGAGUAACACGUGGAUAACCUACCCCUUGGUGGUGGAUAACCUUCCGAAAGGAGGGCUAAUACAGCGUAAGACCACGACUUCGAAAGAGGUUGAGGUAAAAGUGGGCCUCUGUACACAAGCUCACGCCAGGGGGAUGGGUCCGCGGCCCAUCAGCUAGUUGGUAGGUAACGGCCUACCAAGGCGAAGACGGGUAGCUGGUCUGAGAGGAUGAUCAGCCACACUGGAACUGAGACACGGUCCAGACUCCUACGGGAGGCAGCAGUGGGGAAUCUUGCGCAAUGGACGAAAGUCUGACGCAGCGACGCCGCGUGAGUGAUGAAGGCC